GACGAACGCUGGCGGCGUGCUUAACACAUGCAAGUCGAACGGAAAGGCCCUGCUUUUGUGGGGUGCUCGAGUGGCGAACGGGUGAGUAACACGUGAGUAACCUGCCCUUGACUUUGGGAUAACUUCAGGAAACUGGGGCUAAUACCGGAUAGGAGCUCCUGCUGCAUGGUGGGGGUUGGAAAGUUUCGGCGGUUGGGGAUGGACUCGCGGCUUAUCAGCUUGUUGGUGGGGUAGUGGCUUACCAAGGCUUUGACGGGUAGCCGGCCUGAGGGGGUGACCGGCCACAUUGGGACUGAGAUACGGCCCAGACUCCUACGGGAGGCAGCAGUGGGGAAUAUUGCACAAUGGGCGGAAGCCUGAUGCAGCAACGCCGCGUGCGGGAUGACGGCCUUCGGGUUGUAAACCGCUUUCGCCUGUGACGAAGCGUGAGUGACGGUAAUGGGUAAAGAAGCACCGGCUAACUACGUGCCAGCAGCCGCGGUGAUACGUAGGGUGCGAGCGUUGUCCGGAUUUAUUGGGCGUAAAGGGCUCGUAGGUGGUUGAUCGCGUCGGAAGUGUAAUCUUGGGGCUUAACCCUGAGCGUGCUUUCGAUACGGGUUGACUUGAGGAAGGUAGGGGAGAAUGGAAUUCCUGGUGGAGCGGUGGAAUGCGCAGAUAUCAGGAGGAACACCAGUGGCGAAGGCGGUUCUCUGGGCCUUUCCUGACGCUGAGGAGCGAAAGCGUGGGGAGCGAACAGGCUUAGAUACCCUGGUAGUCCACGCUGUAAACGGUGGGUACUAGGUGUGGGGUCCAUUCCACGGGUUCCGUGCCGUAGCUAACGCUUUAAGUACCCCGCCUGGGGAGUACGGCCGCAAGGCUAAAACUCAAAGGAAUUGACGGGGCCCCGCACAAGCGGCGGAGCAUGCGGAUUAAUUCGAUGCAACGCGUAGAACCUUACCUGGGUUUGACAUGGAUCGGGAGUGCUCAGAGAUGGGUGUGCCUCUUUUGGGGUCGGUUCACAGGUGGUGCAUGGCUGUCGUCAGCUCGUGUCGUGAGAUGUUGGGUUAAGUCCCGCAACGAGCGCAACCCUUGUUCACUGUUGCCAGCACGUUAUGGUGGGGACUCAGUGGAGACCGCCGGGGUCAACUCGGAGGAAGGUGGGGAUGACGUCAAGUCAUCAUGCCCCUUAUGUCCAGGGCUUCACGCAUGCUACAAUGGCUGGUACAGAGAGUGGCGAGCCUGUGAGGGUGAGCGAAUCUCGGAAAGCCGGUCUCAGUUCGGAUUGGGGUCUGCAACUCGACCUCACGAAGUCGGAGUCGCUAGUAAUCGCAGAUCAGCAACGCUGCGGUGAAUACGUUCCCGGG
rnacentral:rRNA from 1 species